rnacentral:rRNA from 1 species
GACGAACGCUGGCGGCGUGCCUCAUACAUGCAAGUCGAACGCAGUAGGGACGGGUGAGUCCCACGUGGGUAACCUCCCAUCAGAGGGGAUAACACUUGGAAACAGGUGCUAAAACGAUACUUAUGGAUGGACCCGCGGUGCAUUAGCUAGUUGGUGAUGUAGCGGCUCACCAAGGCCACGAUGCAUAGCCGACCUGAUAGGGGGAUCGGCCACACUGUGACUGAGACACGGACCAGACUCCUACGGGAGGCAGCAGUAUGGAAUCUUCGGCAAUGGACGAAAGUCUGACCGAGCAACGCCGCGUGAGUUAAGAAGGUUUUCGGAUCGUAAAACUCUGUUGUUAGAGAAGCGGUAUCUAACCAGAAAGCCAAUGCUAACUACGUUCCAGCAGCCGCGGUAAUAC